GACAGAGGGUGCAAACGUUGUUCGGAAUUACUGGGCGUAAAGAGCGUGUAGGUGGCUAUGUAAGUCGGAUGUGAAAGCCCGUGGCUCAACUGCGGAAGAGCACCCGAAACUACAUAGCUAGAGUCCCGGAGAGGAAGGUGGAAUGCCUGGUGUAGAGGUGAAAUUCGUAGAUAUCAGGUGGAACACCGGUGGCGAAGGCGGCCUUCUGGACGGUGACUGACACUGAGACGCGAAAGCGUGGGUAGCAAACAGG
rnacentral:rRNA from 1 species